GUUGUUUUUUAAGCGUUUAUUAGCGAGUGGGAAACUCCACAUGGCCGCCAUUUAUUAAAAUGGAGGUAACCGCUGGAAUAUUCUUGGCUUCAAUUUUACUUAAAGAGAUCGAUGCGCUAUCUAGUGUAUAUAAUUAGAUAUCUAUGAUGCUAUCCCUAUCUGAAUGGGUGGGUGUAAGUGAAAUGUUUCCAAGUCGUUCCACUACUGCAUAUUUUCCUAAUUAAUUAAUAUUUUCCUAAUUGUUUAAUAUUCCUAUUCCCAAAAUUCUUGAAGAGUGGGUGGUGGGGUGGUUUGUGCCUGAACAUAAAAGAAAUUUCUGGACAUAUUUUAAUCCAUUAUCUUUGGGUUGACAUGCAUAUUGUUAGUUACUCGUUUAAUUUUUCCUAAAGGUUUCCAUAAAUAUCCCCAAGUUCCAAUAUUUUAUUUUUCUUCCUUCCUAUCCAAUUCAUGUUUUGCUGACCAGUUUUUCGUCCUAUACAAUUCAUGUUUUGCUCCCCCCCCCCCCGGCAGCAUCCCCCUCUAGCACUGCCCCUGGACAAGCGACUACUGAAAAUACUAUGUUAAUUGGUUGGUUGCAUUUUUGUGAAAAUGGGUGGAAUGUCAGGGCAUUUUUUAACUAUAUAA